CUUGAACUGGGAAUUUCUAAGACAAUGAUCAUGGUUCUUUCCAGUUGAGCAAGUCUGCUAACAAUUUCUGUAUAUAUAUUUCUAGAAUCAAAUAAUCAAAAACUAAAAAUAUUUAACCGGAACCAAACACCCAGACCUACUCAUGGUCAUGGUGAUGGUCACGGUCAAGGACCAAUAUCACUCGAAACGCUUUCUAUUCUGAAGUCAGUCCAUCCAGUAUUUUCUUCCUUGGUUUCAUGCUUAUUGCUCUGAUAUGGAAGUUUGACUUCUCAGCAUUUAUGGUUCUGAUCAUUGCUUAUAUAUUAUAUAUUGAAUCCGUUAUUAUAUAUCUUAUAUAUUUCUAUAGCCUAUAGGUACCAUCAAUCAUCAAGACCAUUUCAAACUACAGAGUCAAGCCAUCUCCCACACCUAUAAUAGCUGGAAACUUGGAGAAAUUAUUGCUACUGGAGUUGUGCUUGGAAGCUACCUAGCCAUCAUGACUGUUAUUUUCUCUUUGGUGGCACACAAGACAGAAUUUUUCUCAGUAAUAAUAUAAUCGAGUUUUUUCUUGGAGUACUAGACUACUAGUGAUAAUUUGUCUUCUUUUCCAAGUGUAUAAAGUUGUAAAUUAAUUAUUUAAUUUUACAUUGGAUUCACAGGAGACGUUUGGUGUGAAGUCUAUCAGGAAUAGUAACAACUCAUGAGUGAGGUGUAUCUACAAGUUAGUAUCAUUAGUCAAGCUCUAAUCUUCGUUACAAGAUCAGGGAGUUGGUCCUUUGUUGAACGUGCUGGAGCGUUACUGAUGAUUGCUUUCCUCAUUGCACAACUGGUUGCUACUUUGAUUGCGGUUUACACAAAUUGGGGAAUUCGCAAAAGUUAUGGGUAUUGGAUGGGGAUGGGUUGCAGUUAUCUGGCUAUACAGUAUUAUAACAUACUUCCCAUUGGACAUUCUCCAGUUUGCCAUGGUGACUGGAAAGGUUUGGCUCAACUUGGUUAAGAACAAGAUAGCUUUCACAACGAAGAAAGAUUUCAACAAAGAAGAGAGGGAGGCUCAAUGGGCAGUUGCUCAGAGGACACUUCAAGGCUUAGGGAGCUGCACACACUCAAGGGGCAUGUGGAAUCAUUGAGCGCUGGUGAGAACGCUGGAGAGAUCACCGUAGAAUCGCUUUGGUAUACUUUUUUCUUGAGGAGACAGAUUGUGAAAAUUCCUAGUGAACGAAAGACGGAAAUCCUUAAGGUGUAAUUGGUGACCAAAUAAUGAAAUGGAAUAAUGUAUUCUUUACAAUUCCUAAUUUUUUUUUAUCAUUUACAAGAAAUUGUUUUUCUUUUGCAUUCAUUUUCAUUCUUUUUAUUCUAGAAGAAUAUAGAAGAAAUUUGUUCCCCGCUAAAAUUGAUAAGGAAACAUUUUUUUUUUCAUUCCUCUAAUAUUAUUUCUCUGUAUUUUUUCUCUACUCAUUCCUAAUGUUAUUGUAAUUGUCACCAGUUAGACCCAGUGUUUUUAGAUUUUUUAGUGAGAAAUUAAAAAAUAGAAAUAUCAUUUAUAUUGAGUAAUUCUUCCAAAAGAUACUAAAAUAAAAAAAUUUGACCAAAAGAUCACAAAAGUAGAGGAUGAUUAAAAUAGGUUUCAUCAAAAAGAUAAAAGAUUUUUUUUACCUUACCUUAUAGAUAUAUAAAUAUAAAUAAUUAUUUAAAUAAACAUUUU